AUGGACUAUAGACAAAGGCUCCAGAUACUAAUGGCCUGGAGCCUGUGUCCUAGUGUAGACAGUGAUUUAGCUGCAUUAGUCAGACUGAAUUUGGCUCGCACUGUUGUUAUGAAUAGUUGUUAUGAAAACACAGACUCCAGAAGCUUUUAUGUCUGGCUCGGUUUGAGAAUUUCACAUGGUAAAAAGAGAAAGUCUUCAGGGAAGGGGUUAUCAUGUGUCCUGGGAAUUCACACUCUUGGCACACUCAGUUAUCCCAAUGGCACGAGCAGGUAAGCAGGAAAGAGCUCUUGCACAUUCAUCAACUCCUUUCAAAGAUGCAGCUACAUAUGUGUCAAUGUUGAUGCUCUGCUUCACAUGUCUCAUAGUAAGCAUCCAUCCAGAGGGCUGCAGAUUUCUUCAAGGCCCUGAAAGAGAAGUAAACAAAAUCAUCAGUAGGUAAGACUUUAAUGUAAAAGUUGCUGCUCCAUGGAACAUGUACUCUUUUAUUUGAUUCAGGGCAAUGUUGUCAUUUUCAGCUAUAUCUGACAGAUGUCUUUUUUAUUUUUUUUUAUUUUUUUUAAUUUUUUUAUUUUUUAUUAUUUUUUUUAAAUUUAUUUUUUUAUUGGAGUUCAAUUUACUAACAUACAGAAUAACCCCCAGUGCCCGUCACCCAUUCACUCCCACCCCCCGCCCUCCUCCCCUUCUACCACCCCUAGUUCGUUUCCCAGAGUUAGCAGUCUUUACGUUCUGUCUCCCUUUCUGAUAUUUCCCACACAUUUCUUCUCCCUUCCCUUAUUUUCCCUUUCACUAUUAUUUAUAUUCCCCAAAUGAAUCAGAACAUAUAAUGUUUGUCCUUCUCCGACUGACUUACUUCACUCAGCAUAAUACCCUCCAGUUCCAUCCACGUUGAAGCAAAUGGUGGGUAUUUGUCAUUUCUAAUAGCUGAGUAAUAUCCUGCACCCCGAUGUUUCUAACAGCAAUGGCCAUGAUAGCCAAACUGUGGAAGGAGCCUCGGUGUCCAACGAAAGAUGAAUGGAUAAAGAAGAUGUCUUUUUUCUGUUUCCCAGUGAAGGGAGUCAAAUACACUGCAUUGUUUUUUAGCAGCUUUUCCUUUAGGAAGGAUAUUGAGUUUUUCUUUCAUUUUAUUCUCUUUUGUACCCCAAAUUAUCAACUGUCCUUAAAAGCUUAAAAAAAAGCUUCUCUGAAUUUCUGUAAGAUAAAGCAUAUACCUCUAUGCCAACCCAUCUUAUAUCUACCCAUCCAUCAUAUUUUAUAACGUGAAAGAUAUUUUUUCUAGGCUUUGGGGAUAUAGCAAUGAGUAGGAGAGACAUGAGUUCCAUCUACAUGUAGUUCCUGGUCUAGCUUGGGAGACACGUAUUAAAUAAUUUAUUACCCAUGAUGUUACUUAAUCGUGAUUGUGAUAAAGGUCACAAGUGAAGAGAAGCAG
rnacentral:lncRNA from 1 species